rnacentral:rRNA from 1 species
GAUAAACGCUGGCGGUGUACAUAAGACAUGCAAGUCGAACGGGAGAAGACAGGAAGAUUUAUCUACUUGUUGGACACCGUGGCGGACGGGUGAGUAACACGUAAGCAACCUGCCUAUAAGAGGGGAAUAACAGUGAGAAAUUACUGAUAAUACCGCAUAAGCUGGAGGUAUCGCAUGAUACAUUCAGAAAAGAUUUAUCGCUUAUAGAUGGGCUUGCGUCUGAUUAGCUAGUUGGUGAGAUAACAGCUCACCAAGGCGACGAUCAGUAGCCGGAUUGAGAGGUUGAACGGCCACAUUGGGACUGAGACACGGCCCAGACUCCUACGGGAGGCAGCAGUCGGGAAUAUUGCACAAUGGAGGAAACUCUGAUGCAGUGACACCGCGUAUAGGAAGAAGGUCUUAGGAUUGUAAGCUAUUGUCGUGUGAGAAGAAAAUGACCAUCACAGGAGGAAGCCC